CCCUAGGGGAAACCUGGAUUAAUACCGGAUGAGACGGGACCCGCGAUGGCGGGAUCCGGGAAAGGCGCUGCGGCGCCGCCGGGGGAUGAGUCUGCGUCCCAUUAGCUAGACGGCGGGGUAACGGCCCACCGUGGCGACGAUGGGUAGCCGGCCUGAGAGGGUGGACGGCCACGAUUGGAACUGAGACACGGUCCAGACUCCUACGGGAGGCAGCGAGCUAAGAAUCUUCCGCAAUGGGCGAAAGCCUGACGGAGCGACGCCGCCGUGAACGAAGAAGGCCGUGAGGUUGUAAAAGUUCUUUUCGGGAGGGGGAACAACCGUGGCAGGGAAUGGCCGCGGGAUGACGUGAAUCCCGGAAUAAGCCCCGGCUAACUACGUGCCAGCAGCUGC
rnacentral:rRNA from 1 species